rnacentral:rRNA from 1 species
AGAUGAGUCCCGCGGCUGAUUAGCUUGUUGGUGGGGUAAUGGUCUACCAAGGCGACGAUCAGUAGCCGGCCUGAGAGGGUGAACGGCCACAUUGGGACUGAGAUACGGCCCAGACUCCUACGGGAGGCAGCAGUUAAGAAUCUUGCACAAUGGGCGCAAGCCUGAUGCAGCGACGCCGCGUGGAUGAUGAAGGCUUUCGGGUUGUAAAGUCCGGUAAGCAGGGAAGAAUAAGUGGGGGGUAAUAUUCCUCAUGAUGACGGUACCUGCCUAAAGCCCCGGCUAACUACGUGCCAGCAGCCGCGGUAAUACGUAUGGGGCGAGCGUUGUUCGGAAUUAUUGGGCGUAAAGGGCGUCUAGGCGGGGAUUUAAGUUAGGUGUGAAAGCUAUGGGCUCAACCCAUAAACUGCACCUAAAACUGGAUCUCUUGAGUUUGGGGAGAGGAGAGCGGAAUUCCAGGUGUAGCGGUGAAAUGCGUAGAUAUCUGGAAGAACACCAGUGGCGAAGGCGGCUCUCUGGCCUAGGACUGACGCUGAAGCGCGAAAGCGUGGGGAGCGAACAGGAUUAGAUACCCUGGUAGUCCACGCCGUAAACGUUGUAUACUAGGUGUUAGCGGCUUGUCCGCUAGUGCCGCAGCAAACGCAUUAA